UGGCUCAGUGGUUAAGAGCACUGACUGUUCUUCCAGAGGUCCUGAGUUCAAAUCUCAG
rfam:Rattus norvegicus chromosome 10, whole genome shotgun sequence.